CGGUUUGUUCUGGUUUUAUCUUUUGGUUUGUAUAUUCAAAAUGAAUAUACGACUUUUAAACAUGUGUGUGAUAUCCUGUGCUGUCUGUCGUUGAAAAAAAGAUGUUCGUUGUUUUUCUGCGGUUUUCAUGAUGUAUCGACUAUUAUAUUAUUUGUUUGUGCGUUUCUCUGUGAUGAGUGUUCUUGCGUGUGUUUGUGCUGUACUUCUGUCACUUAAUGUUGAAAAUUUUAUCGAUGUUUUUUAUCAUUGCCAUAUAAGAGGUAGGUUUGACUGGCCAUUAAACCAGGGUCAACCCACAGUUUUUUUCUUAAAAUGCCCCGUACCAAGUCAGGAAUAUGGCAGUUGUUAUCAAAUAGUUCGUUUCUGUGUAUGUUGUAGUAAAAUUUUGUGCACUUCAGUGUUAAUAUUGUUCCUUUGUUUACCUCUUAUAAUUGAUAUGUUUCCAUGUGUUUUAGUUUGCUGUCUGAAUUUGUCUCUCAAC
rnacentral:lncRNA from 1 species